rnacentral:lncRNA from 1 species
ACGACCCGAAUCUGAUAAGAUUCGAUGUCUCUGUGCUUAUCGUGCUAGUCCCUGGAUCGACUCGCUAGCACACACAGUACAUAUAAUAUCAAAUAACAAGUGCAUCAUUUACUAUAACGUAUGACCCAGAAUUCAUAAAGUAUUACAAACGAAAUAGCACAUAGCUAGCUUUAUUCAAUAACAACAACGGAAAUGUAGCAUAAUAAACGAUGAGUCCAUCAAUGCCCACUAGAGAACAUGUUGAGUGAAGACUCGCGACCCUACUGUAUCUCACUGAUCAUCUAAAAAUCCUGCAACAUGAUAAGUUGCAACCACAAAGGGUCAAUACGUUGAAUGUAUUGGCAAAUCACACAAUAUGAUAUAGCAAACCUACAUCCACAAGUAAAGUAUGACAAACAAAACACUCAAGUUAAUUUGGAGAAGAAAGUCUUCACCUACCUCCACUAAAUGAACUCAUAACCGUCUCUAAUAUAUUCGCCCAAGAUAAACCCAAAGAUUCUAAGUAACACGACAAGAACUUCAGAAGUAUCUCAAGUGCGCUCUGUGAGUGGCGCAUUCUCUAGGAACAAUAGAGCGCUCUGCCAAUGACUCAUUCACCUGAUUUAAGUUCCAAAAACUAUACCUCGCCUCAAGUGUGCCCUGUCAAUGGCGCAUUCUCUAGGGACAAUAGAGCGCUCUGCCAGUGACACAUUCACCUGGUUAAUAAUCCCGAGCCUACGGCUAUAAACACUCACCACUUUCAUGGAUCACUCGACACAUGACCGCCUCUAUCAUAGCAAGUUGAUCACACCAUCACAUACGACAAUCAACAACAAAACAUGGUAACACGGAAUACACAUAUCAAGCGAUACAUAUAGCAUAGCAUAAAACCACACGCGCAUAACAGAAUAUAGGAUAAGCAAAACCAAAAGUGCAAACUUGCCUUGAAAGGUGUUGAAGUACUCUAACGCUUAAUUAUGAUCCGCUUCACACUCGGG